GUGCCAGCAGCCGCGGUAAGACGAACCGUCCAAACGUUAUUCGGAAUCACUGGGCUUAAAGGGCGCGUAGGCGGCCGAGCGGGUCGAGGGUGAAAUCCUCCAGCUUAACUGGAGAACUGCCCUCGCUACCACUGCGGCUCGAGGAAGGAAGGGGCAGCGGGAACUGUCGGUGGAGCGGUGAAAUGCGUUGAUAUCGACAGGAACGCCGAUGGCGAAAGCACGCUGCUGGUCCUUUACUGACGCUGAGGCGCGAAAGCCAGGGGAGCAAACGGGAUUAGAAACCCCAGUAGUCC
rnacentral:rRNA from 1 species